rnacentral:lncRNA from 1 species
UCUUCUUCCUCCCUCUCUCCAUCUAUAUUCUUCCUUCUACUUUCCCCACUCUUCCUUCUCUUCUUUCUCCCUUCUUCCCCUCUUCUGUCUCUCUUCUAAAAUCCUUAUUACAUCUAUGCAAAACAGAAAUCCCUGACAGCUAUACAGAAUUCUCUUUCAAGGUCUAAAGUUGAAGAACGAAGGUUUUGAGAAUCCCACCAAUCCGCA